rnacentral:rRNA from 1 species
CUUAAUUCUUUUAAGAGUGACGGGCGAUAUGUGCAUGUUAAAUUUCUUUUUCAAUAUCCAAUUUUAUUAAGAUUUUAUUUUUAAGUCCCUUUUCAAAUUAAAUCCAUUAUUUAUCCAGUUGAAGCUUAUUGUAUUCCACCCUUUCUCAGCUAUAUUCCUUGUCUAGAUUUGUUUUUUAAUGGGUAAAUUUUAAAAAAUUAAAAUUAAUUCUAUUUUUUGAAACAAUGAUAUGAGGGAUAAAAAAUUGAGUACACUUUAGCGCGGGUUGUCGUUUAUAAUGCAGAAUCCCCUAAAUUGAUUUUACACCGCCAUUUUAAUUAGAUUUUUCUUAAUUUAGAUACUUUCUGUUUUUGUCAUAAAA